rnacentral:rRNA from 1 species
GACGAACGCUGGCGGCGUGCUUAACACAUGCAAGUCGAACGGAAAGGCCCUGCUCUUGUGGGGUGCUCGAGUGGCGAACGGGUGAGUAACACGUGAGUAACCUGCCCUUGACUUUGGGAUAACUUCAGGAAACUGGGGCUAAUACCGGAUAGGAGCUCCUGCUGCAUGGUGGGGGUUGGAAAGUUUCGGCGGUUGGGGAUGGACUCGCGGCUUAUCAGCUUGUUGGUGGGGUAGUGGCUUACCAAGGCUUUGACGGGUAGCCGGCCUGAGAGGGUGACCGGCCACAUUGGGACUGAGAGACGGACCAGACUCCUACGGGAGGCAGCAGUGGGGAGUAUUGCACAAUGGGCGGAAGCCAGAUGCAGCAACGCCGCGUGCGGGAUGACGGCCUUCGGGUUGUAAACCGCUUUCGCCUGUGACGAAGCGUGAGUGACGGUAAUGGGUAAAGAAGCACCGGCUAACUACGUG